UGCCAGCCGCCGCGGUAAUACAGAGGGUGCAAGCGUUAAUCGGAAUUACUGGGCGUAAAGAGCGCGUAGGUGGUUUGUUAAGUCACGUGUGAAAGCCCUGAGCUCAACUCAGGAACUGCAUAUGAUACUGACAAUCUAGAGUAUAGUAGAGGGAAGUGGAAUUUCCGGUGUAGCGGUGAAAUGCAUAGAUAUCGGAAGGAACAUCAGAGGCGAAGGCGACUUCUUGGGCUAUUACUGACACUGAGGCGCGAAAGCGUGGGUAGCAAACAGGAUUAGAUA
rnacentral:rRNA from 1 species